rnacentral:rRNA from 1 species
AGAGUUUGAUCUUGGCUCAGAACGAACGCUGGCAGCGUGGAUUAGGCAUGCAAGUCGAACGAGAAACCGCCUUUUCAAUCUUCGGAAAGAGAAGGUGGUGGAAAGUGGCGAAAGGGUGAGUAACGCGUGGGUAAUCUGCCUCUAAGUUUGGGAUAACAUCUCGAAAGGGAUGCUAAUACCGGAUGGGGUCGUCCUUCGCAUGGAGGAUUGAUCAAAGGUGGGGAUUCUUCGGAACCUGCCGCUUGGAGAGGAACCCGCGUCACAUCAGCUUGUUGGUGAGGUAACGGCUCACCAAGGCUUACGGGUAGCUGGUCUGAGAGGAUGGUCAGCCACACUGGGACUGAGACACUGCCCAGACUCCUACGGGAGGCUGCAGUCGAGGAUCAUUCGCAAUGCGCGAAAGCGUGACGAUGCGACGCUGCGUGGAGGAUGACGGCCUUCGGGUUGUAAACUCCUGUCAUUCGGGAAAAAUGGCCCCGGAGUUAAUACCUCCAGGGUGUGAUGGUACCUCAAGAGGAAGCCACGGCUAACUCUGUGCCAGCAGCCGCGGUAAUACAGAGGUGGCGAGCGUUGUUCGGAUUUACUGGGCGUAAAGGGUACGUAGGCGGUCUUGUAUGUCGGAUGUGAAAUCCCAUGGCUCAACCAUGGAACUGCAUUCGAAACUACAAGACUAGAGUACAGGAGGGGAGAGCGGAAUUCUUGGUGUAGCGGUGAAAUGCGUUGAUAUCAAGAAGAACACCGGUGGCGAAGGCGGCUCUCUGGAAUGUUACUGACGCUGAUGUACGAAAGCUAGGGUAGCAAACAGGUUUAGAUACCCUGGUAGUCCUAGCUGUAAACGGUGUGCACUUGGUGUGGGGGGUAUUGACCCUUCCCGUGCCGGAGCUAACGCGUUAAGUGCACCGCCUGGGGAGUACGGCCGCAAGGUUAAAACUCAAAGAAAUUGACGGGGGCCCGCACAAGCGGAGGAGCAUGUGGCUUAAUUCGAUGCAACGCGAAGAACCUUACCAGGGCUUGACAUGGGGACCCUUCGGGGGUGGUAGCGAAAGUUACCUUUACCAUCACAGGUGCUGCAUGGCUGUCGUCAGUUCGUGCCGUGAGGUGUUGGGUUAAGUCCCGCAACGAACGCAACCCCUGUGUUUAGUUGCCACCGUAGGUGUUAAGUCUGGAAGCACUCUAAACAGACUGCCUGUACAAGCAGGAGGAAGGUGGGGACGACGUCAAGUCAGUAUGGCCCUUACGCCCUGGGCUGCACACGUGCUACAAUGGCCGGUACAGAGGGAUGCAAUAUCGCGAGGUGGAGCAAAUCCUGAAAGCCGGCCCCAGUUCGGAUUGGAGUCUGCAACUCGACUCCAUGAAGUCGGAUUCGCUAGUAACGGCGUAUCAGCUACGACGCCGUGAAUACGUUCCCGGGCCUUGUACACACCGCCCGUCACAUCAUGAAAGCCGUCUGCACCCGAAGUCGCUGAGCCAACCCGCAAGGGAGGCAGGUGCCGAAGGUGUGGGUGGUGAUUGGGAUGAAGUCGUAACAAGGUAACCGUA